rnacentral:rRNA from 1 species
UACGUAGGAGGCAAGCGUUGUCCGGAAUUACUGGGCGUAAAGCGCGUGUAGGUGGUGGGACAAGUCUGCUGUGAAAGCGCCUGGCUUAACCGGGCGAGGUCGGCGGAAACUGUCGCACUCGAGGACGGUAGAGGGGGGUGGAAUUCCCGGUGUAGUGGUGAAAUGCGUAGAGAUCGGGAGGAACACCUGUGGCGAAGGCGGCCCCCUGGGCCGGCCCUGACACUGAGACGCGGAAGGCGUGGGGAGCAAACAGG